CCUACGGGUGGCAGCAGUGGGGAAUAUUGCACAAUGGACGCAAGCCUGAUGCAGCCAUGCCGCGUGUAUGAAGAAGGCCUUCGGGUUGUAAAGUACUUUCAGCGGGGAGGAAGGCGAUAAGGUUAGUAACCUUGUCGAUUGACGUUACCCGCAGAAGAAGCACCGGCUAACUCCGUGCCAGCAGCCGCGGUAAUACGGAGGGUGCAAGCGUUAAUCGGAAUUACUGGGCGUAAAGCGCACGCAGGCGGUCUGUCAAGUCGGAUGUGAAAUCCCCGGGCUCAACCGGGGAACUGCAUUCGAAACUGGCAGGCUAGAGUCUUGUAGAGGGGGGUAGAAUUCCAGGUGUAGCGGUGAAACGCGUAGAGAUCUGGAGGAAUACCGGUGGCGAAGGCGGCCCCCUGGACAAAGACUGACGCUCAGGUGCGAAAGCGUGGGGAGCAAAUAGGAUUAGAUACCCUCGUAGUC
rnacentral:rRNA from 1 species